rnacentral:rRNA from 1 species
GACGAACGCUGGCGGCGUGCCUAAUACAUGCAAGUCGAACGAGUGGCGGACGGGUGAGUAACACGUGGGAACCUACCCAUCAGAGGGGGAUAACACGUGGAAACAGGUGCUAAUACCGCAUACUGAAGGAUGGACCCGCUGUGCAUGAGCUAGUUGGUGAGGGAACGGCUCACCUUGGCGACGAUCCCUAGCUGGUCUGAGAGGAGGACCAGCCACACUGGAACUGAGACCCGUUCCAGACUCCUACGGGAGGCAGCAGUGGGGAAUAUUGCACAAUGGGCGCAAGCCUGAUGCAGCCAUGCCGGGUGUAUGAAGAAGGCCUUCGGGUUGUAAAGUACUUUCAGCGGGGAGGCGUUACCCGCAGAAGAAGCACCGGCUAACUCCGUGCCAGCAGCCGCGGUAAUAC